GACGAACGCUGGCGGCGUGCUUAACACAUGCAAGUCGAACGGUGAUGCUCCAGCUUGCUGGAGUGGAUCAGUGGCGAACGGGUGAGUAACACGUGAGCAACCUGCCCCAGACUCUGGAAUAAGCGCUGGAAACGGCGUCUAAUACUGGAUACGAAACUGGCCCGCAUGGGCAUGGUUUGGAAAGUUUUUCGGUUUGGGAUGGGCUCGCGGCCUAUCAGCUUGUUGGUGAGGUAAUGGCUCACCAAGGCGACGACAGGUAGCCGGCCUGAGAGGGCGACCGGCCACACUGGGACUGAGACACGGCCCAGACUCCUACGGGAGGCAGCAGUGGGGAAUAUUGCACAAUGGGCGAAAGCCUGAUGCAGCGACGCCGCGUGAGGGAUGACGGCCUUCGGGUUGUAAACCUCUUUCAGCAGGGAAGAAGCGAAAGUGGCGGUACCUGCAGAAGAAGCACCGGCUAACUACGUG
rnacentral:rRNA from 1 species